CAGCCGCCACGGUAAUACGAAGGGUGCAAGCGUUAAUCGGAAUUACUGGGCGUAAAGCGUGCGUAGGCGGUUUGUUAAGUCUGCUGUGAAAUCCCCGGGCUCAACCUGGGAAUGGCAGUGGAUACUGGCAAGCUAGAGUGUGUCAGAGGAUGGUGGAAUUCCCGGUGUAGCGGUGAAAUGCGUAGAGAUCGGGAGGAACAUCAGUGGCGAAGGCGGCCAUCUGGGACAACACUGACGCUGAGGCACGAAAGCGUGGGGAGCAAACAGGAUUAGAGACCCGUGUAGUCCCUGUCUCUUAUAC
rnacentral:rRNA from 1 species